GUUGCCGUUAAAAAGCUCGUAGUCGAACUUCGGCCUCUGCCACCCGGUCCGCCUAUUUGGGUGUGUACUGGAGUGGUGGAGGCUUACCUCGUGGUGAGCGGCCAUGUCCUUUACUGGGCGUGGUCGGGAACCAUGACAUUUACUUUGAAAAAAUUAGAGUGUUCAAAGCAGGCUUACGCCCGAAUACAUUAGCAUGGAAUAAUAAAAUAGGACGUGCGGUCCUAUUUUGUUGGUUUCUAGGAUCGCCGUAAUGAUUAAUAGGGAUAGUUGGGGGCAUUCGUAUUCAAUUGCUAGAGGUGAAAUUCUUGGAUUUAUUGAAGACGAACUACUGCGAAAGCAUUUGCCAAGGAUGUUUUCAUUGAUCAAGAACGAAGGUUAGGGGAUCGAAAACGAUCAGAUACCGUUGUAGUCUUAACAGUAAACGAUGCCGACUAGGGAUCGGACGAGGAUUUUUAAUGACUCGUUCGGCACCUGAAGAGAAAUCUUUAAGUCUAGGUUCGGGGGGGAGUAUGGUCGCAAGGCUGAAACUUAAAGGAAUUGACGGAAGGGCACCACCAGGUGUGGAGCCUGCGGCUUAAUUUGACUCAACACGGGGAAACUCACCAGGUCCAGACACGACAAGGAUUGACAGAUUGAUAGCUCUUUCUUGAUUUCGUGGUUGGUGGUGCAUGGCCGUUCUUAGUUGGUGGAGUGAUUUGUCUGGUUAAUUCCGAUAACGAACGAGACCUUAACCUGCUAAAUAGCCCGGCCGACUUUGGUUGGUCGCUGGCUUCUUAGAGGGACUAUCGGCGUUUAGCCGAUGGAAGUUUGAGGCAAUAACAGGUCUGUGAUGCCCUUAGAUGUUCUGGGCCGCACGCGCGCUACACUGACCGAACCAGCGAGUUUAUCACCUUGGCCGGAAGGCCUGGGUAAUCUUGUGAAACUCGGUCGUGAUGGGGAUAGAGCAUUGCAAUUAUUGCUCUUCAACGAGGAAUACCUAGUAAGCGUGAGUCAUCAGCUCGCGUUGAAUUCGUCCCUGCCCUUUGUACACACCGCCCGUCGCUACUACCGAUUGAAUGGCUUAGUGAGG
rnacentral:rRNA from 1 species